UAACGAUGUCGAUUUGGAGGUUGUUCCCUUGAGGAGUGGCUUCCGGAGCUAACGCGUUAAAUCGACCGCUGGGGAGUACGGCCGCAAGGUUAAAACUCAAAUGAAUUGACGGGGGCCCGCACAAGCGGUGGAGCAUGUGGUUUAACUCGAUGCAACGCGAAGAACCUUACCUACUCUUGACAUCCAGAGAAUUUAGCAGAGAUGCUUUAGUGCCUUCGGGAACUCUGAGACAGGUGCUGCAUGGCUGUCGUCAGCUCGUGUUGUGAAAUGUUGGGUUAAGUCCCGCAACGAGCGCAACCCUUAUCCUUUGUUGCCAGCACGUUAUGGUGGGAACUCAAAGGAGACUGCCGGUGAUAAACCGGAGGAAGGUGGGGAUGACGUCAAGUCAUCAUGGCCCUUACGAGUAGGGCUACACACGUGCUACAAUGGCGUAUACAAAGAGAAGCGACCUCGCGAGAGCAAGCGGAACUCAUAAAGUACGUCGUAGUCCGGAUUGGAGUCUGCAACUCGACUCCAUGAAGUCGGAAUCGCUAGUAAUCGUAGAUCAGAAUGCUACAGUGAAUACGUUCCCGGGCCUUGUACACACCGCCCGUCACACCAUGGGAGUGGGUUGCAAAAGAAGUAGGUAGCUUAACCUUCGGGAGGGCGCUUACCACUUUGUGAUUCAUGACUGGGGUGAAGUCGUAACAAGGUAACCA
rnacentral:rRNA from 1 species